CCGCAGUAGGUUUGUUUCCAGUUUGGAUAGUGGUUAGAUAUUCAGAGCUUGCUCGUCAAUACAUCUUCAACUGAAGGUCCUAGAGAUAUCUUAAUUCCGAUGGUAGAGCGCAAGAUGCCAUCUAUUAGAAGAAAAAGAGCCACACUGGUUUACAGAGACCUGACUAGAGGCUUGAUAGUGCGUACACCCCUGCCAUCAACUUAAAUCGGGAGUCCUGGGAGAACAGAGCUGGUUCCCUCUGCAGCAGAAUUUGUGUCCAGCUACAGUGAUGCACCUCCUCCACCAGCAUAAAAAAAAGGAAGGCUGCGGAUGUUGUGGCCUGGAAGUGGUUGAGGGAGCUACUCCACAUGCCUGCAGUGGAGCUGGAAUGUCCUCCACCCAAUGCCAUCUGCAGUUUGUGUAGAGUUUUGGAGGAGGCUGAUCUAUGGUGCUAUAAGGAUUGUGGCUCAGAUAAAUAUUUCUGUGCCACCUGUGCUGUGAGAACACAAAGCACUCCUAACGAUGUCCAACAGUUAAGGUUAUGGACGGAAAUGUAUUUUAUGUUAUAUCAACAAACCUGUCAAAUUCUGGCUUAAAAAAAUGGCUUCCCAGUCAAAAAUGUUGAUCAUGUAUAGAUACAGUUCAGUUUAUAUAAAAGUUACAGUUCCCUGCAGCGGUAAGGUAAAUGUGAUUUGGUUUGAUUUGGAGUUUUCUGACAACUUGUGCAAGGAAAUAUCCCCCUGAUAGUGUAGCUUCAAAUCUGCAGCUACUGUAGUCUGUCUGUCUUAGUCAGGGCAGUUCAUCCCAUGUGUCCCGUUGGGCAUACGAUGGGAGUGGCGGAGACAAGAUGACCAUGACUGUCACAUCCUGUACAACCCUCUUUUGACUGUUGUUGACGUUAGAGGUAGGCCUUAUAUAACAAUUUGAAACUAAGACUUCUGGCUCCUUUACCAUCUUUCAAACUGUAUCAGAGCAUUAAGUGUAGCAGCACCAUGCUUAGAGACAGUUUCUCCCUCAAAGCCAUAAGACUGGCACCGACUGUACUGUACUUAAUAUACUGUAGUAAUCUACUUAUUUCAUUGUAUUGUACAUAUUGCGCUGUAUUCCUGUGCAAAUGGCAACUUUGAUUUUAUUUGAUUUAGUUUACCAUAACCCUGUUCACUCUUCACUCUGUUGUUAUGAUGAAAAUAUGUUGAUCAAUCUACAUUCUUAAAAGACAUGAAUCUCA